rnacentral:rRNA from 1 species
GACGAACGCUGGCGGCGUGCUUAACACAUGCAAGUCGAACGGUGAAGGGAUCAGCUUGCUGGUUCUGGAUGAGUGGCGAACGGGUGAGUAACACGUGAGUAACCUGCCCCCUUCUUCUGGAUAACCGCAUGAAAGUGUGGCUAAUACGGGAUAUUCUGGGUCUGUCGCAUGACGGGCCCGGGAAAGAUGCGCCUUUGGGUGUUUUUGGUGGGGGAUGGGCUCGCGGCCUAUCAGCUUGUUGGUGGGGUGAUGGCCUACCAAGGCGGGGACGGGUAGCCGGCCUGAGAGGGUGGACGGUCACACUGGGACUGAGACACGGCCCAGACUCCUACGGGAGGCAGCAGUGGGGAAUAUUGCACAAUGGGCGCAAGCCUGAUGCAGCGACGCCGCGUGAGGGAUGGAGGCCUUCGGGUUGUAAACCUCUUUCGCCAGUGAAGCAGGCCCGCCUCGUUUGUGGGUGGGA